AGCAGCCGCGGUAAUUCCAGCUCCAAUAGCGUAUAUUAAAGUUGUUGCAGUUAAAAAGCUCGUAGUUGAAUUUCGGGGUUAGUAGGUUGGUCAUGCCUCUGGUAUGUACUGGUCUCACUGAUUCCUCCUUCCUGAUGAACCUUAAUGCCAUUUAUUUGGUGUUUUGGGGAAUUUGGACUGUUACUUUGAAAAAAUUAGAGUGUUUAAAGCAAGCUAACGCUUGAAUACAUUAGCAUGGAAUAAUGAAAUAGGACGUUCGAUCCUAUUUUGUUGGUUUCUAGGAUCGACGUAAUGAUUAAUAGGGAUAGUUGGGGGCAUUAGUAUUCAAUUAUCAGAGGUGAAAUUCUUGGAUUUAUUGAAGACUAACUACUGCGAAAGCAUUUGCCAAGGAUGUUUUCUAUUAAUCAAGAACGAAAGUUAGGGGAUCGAAGACGAUCAGAUACCGUCGUAGUCUUAACCAUAAACUAUGCCGACUAGGGAUCGGAUGAUGUUAAUUUUUUAAUGACUCAUUCGGCGCCUU
rnacentral:rRNA from 1 species